rnacentral:sRNA from 1 species
UGUAGAAAAAAGGUCGGUUGGUUGGUUGUGGGCUCCCCCUCCCAGUGCAGGGCCUGUUGCAGAAUAGGCACAAGGAAAUGUUGGUUGAACGACUGAUGGUCCCAGUCUCUCGCCCUCCUUUGCAGAUCGAGCUGAAGGACUGCGCGGCUGGCUCUCCUCUAGUAUGGCCAAUGAAGAGGAUGACCCAGUUGUACAGGAGAUCGAUGUGUACUUGGCCAAGAGUCUGGCGGAAAAGCUGUAUCUAUUUCAGUACCCUGUGCGUCCAGCCUCGAUGACCUAUGAUGACAUUCCGCACCUCUCAGCCAAGAUCAAGCCCAAGCAGCAGAAGGUGGGGCUGCUCCCUGAGGGCUGUUGGGGCCGAAAGAGAGGGUGAUGAGGGUGGGAGCUGGUGGAGGCGAGAAGCUCAGAGAAGGAGUCAUUGGAGAAGUAGGAGAACCAGCAACUCCCAGGCCCUUGAAAGCUGAAGAAGGAAAGUGUCCAGAAAGACAGGGAUGGGCAGCUCCAGAGAGGCCAGGGACGCAUGAGGCUGAUGAAUGAGAGAAUGGGGCCAGAUGUGAGCUUAGGUUCCCAGGAUAAGACGAGGG